rnacentral:lncRNA from 1 species
CGCCUUCAGCCGGGAGAGGGUGCUCUCGGAAGGUGAGCUCGAGAAAGCCCUGCGCUCGCUCUAGUGAGUGGCAGCUGAGAACUUUGGGCUCCGUAGGAAGAAGGAAGGGAAGUUGGGAAGGUCUUUGGACCUUGUGGCUUGGCUGUCUUCCUCAUGGCUUCACCCAGCCGCCCCGGCAAUGACUGCUCCCAUGUUAUUGAUCACAGCCAUGUUCCUGAAUUCGAGGUAGCUACCUGGAUCAAAAUCACACUCAUCCUACUGUUCCUGGUCAUCUUUGUGGUGGGCAUCCUGGGGAAUAGUGUCACGAUUCGGGUCACCCAGGUGCUGCAGAAGAAAGGCUACCUGCAGAAGGAGGUGACAGAUCACAUGGUGAGCCUGGCUUGCUCCGACAUCCUGGUCUUCCUCAUUGGUAUGCCCGUGGAGUUCUACAGCAUCAUCUGGAACCCCCUGACCACGCCCAGCUACACCGUAUCCUGUAAGCUUCACUCUUUCCUCUUCGAGACCUGCAGCUACGCUACGCUGCUGCACGUGCUGACGCUCAGCUUCGAGCGCUACAUCGCCAUCUGCCACCCCUUCAGGUAUAAGGCCAUGUCUGGGCCCUGCCAGGUGAAGCUGCUGAUUGGCUUUGUCUGGGUCACCUCUGCCCUGGUGGCCUUGCCUUUGCUUUUUGCCAUGGGAGUUGAAUACCCCUUGGUGGACGUGCCCAGUCACCGGGGGCUCUCUUGCAACCGCUCUCGCAACCACCACUCCGAGCACCCGGAGACCUCCAAUAUGUCCGUCUGCACCAACCUCUCUAGCCGUUGGACUGUGUUCCAGUCUAGCAUCUUUGGUGCCUUCAUCAUCUACUUGGUGGUCCUGGUCUCCGUGGCCUUCAUGUGCUGGAGCAUGAUGCAGGCGCUCCAGAGGAGCAAGCAGGGCACGCUGGCCGCCAAAGGGCAGCAGCUGCAGCUGAGGAAGUCCGAAAGCGAGGAGAGCAGGAGCGCCCGAAGGCAGACCAUCAUCUUCCUGAGUGAGUCUUGGGUGGAGGGCCUCCUGGGAGCAACCCCCACCGCCCUGCCCAUGGUCCUCUUAAGCUUUAAGUGGGUGAACUUAUGUUCGUUGGCACUAAAGAGGCAUCAGUCUGAGCCUCUACAUGUUUCUUCUCUAUUUGGCGGCUUGGGUGUAUGGUCAAAAGAGCACUAGACCAGAAGUCACAAGGUCUGGGUAUAUUCCAGAAUGGCAGCUCUGUGAUGGCUGGCUGAGUCACAAAAUAGCUUGGAUAAAAUGGAGAUGAUAAUACCGCGAUGUGAGGUUUCAGUCAGAUAAUACGGGACAGGUGAAAGUCCAUUGAGAAAGAUCAAGUUCUAUGCAGAUGGAAAGGAGCAUCCUUAUCUAGCCCAUCUUUAUCCUGGAGAACCUAUCUCAGGUAAUUAGAUAGUGUUCCUGUUUUUCUCCUUUGGAGAUGCAUGGCUAUGGGGAACACACACUCUCCAGGCUGCAACUUUCUUUCCCUAGAGUGACAUUCUGCCCAAGUUUUAAGAAACUGGAGCUCUUACACACUGCCCCAAGUUGUGCUUAUGUGUCCACCAUGGUUGGUUUGUUCCUUAUUGUAGCAGAGAAGCAUGGCAGGACCAGGUGGCUUGUUUCUCUGAUUCAGAAAACCUGGCUUCCCCUAUUUCCUAAGAGAAGGACCUGCCUUUUAUGUGACAGGAAGAGGCUGCUGCCCAUUGUCAACAGCCCCCAGGCUUCACAAGAGGGGCCUGGUGGCUGCGCUUUGAGAGAUGGGGCUUUCAUGGAGAUACACAAAGUGUUUGUGAGCAAAGGCUUUUAAAAACUACUUUUUAGCAAAAACAAACAUACAGAAAAGAUACUGUUGUGGGUGUGUGAGUCAAGGGAGGGGUUGAUGGAAUAAAUGUUAGCCCCCUCUCCCAGCCCCCUUUCCCGUGUGGCGUUGGAGAAGGAAUAAAUCAUGCUGCUGUUUGUUUUGGUGUGGGAAACCUGAGUAACAGGUUCCAGGACAAGGUGUUAGUCAUGAGAGAAAAUGGGAAAUUACUUGAAGAGAAGUGGAAACAACUAGGUCUCAGCCCAGCCCAGCGCCUGGCUUCUGGUGUGUCUGUACACCUGACCUGACUUUACUCUGUGUCUGUGCAAAAUGAGAGGGUGGGAGUUGGUGGUUUUUGGAUGGGCUUACUCUGCAUCAGGGGCCGUGCUUUUGACUUACAUUUAUUUCCGUUUCAUAGAAGAGGAAUUUCAGGCUUAGAGAAGACCUGGUUCAAAUGCAUGUUAAGUGCAGCUCUCAGAUUCUAACCUUGCUUCUAAGCUCAUCUUGCUCACUACACAAUAGGCCAAUAAAAGCAACUUUAUUUGGAAAGCCAGCAGACUGAGAAGAUGGUGAACUAGUGUCCCAAAGAACUAUAUUGCUGGUGUUAGAAUUCAAGCUUCUCUUAUAUUAAAAGGGGGGCAGAGGUUGGUUGUCCCAAACUUGGCGUCAGAAUCCUUUCUUGCAGCUGUCAAUUCAGAUCGCCAUGUCCCUUUAAACAUUCAACAAGACAAAUGUUAUUCUUUCUUGUGAAACUUUUUGUCUCUGUAUGAAUGGAAAAGCCUUAUACAUUUAAAGGCCAGAGCCUUGAGAAUAGGCCAUCCUGUAUAUUUCAGGCUAUAGGCAACAUUCUU